UAGUUUUUAGUACUAUUUGACGUGUCGUUUUUUCUUCAAGUGAAAAUUGUUGUCAAUUGUAUAUUGCUUGUUGUGAUCAUUAUCCUGCAUUUUAUCAAGUUAAAAUAAUUUUGUUUUAGUCAAUUUUGAUUUGAGUUAUUUCCAUAAUGGUUGACGAAUGCACAAGAAAGACACUUAGCAACAUUCCAUUACUGCAAACGCGUGCAGGUCCACGGGACAAAGAGUUAUGGGUGCAGAGGCUAAAGGAGGAAUACAAGGCUCUUAUUAAGUACGUUCAAAACAACAAAGAAUCAGGAAGCGACUGGUUCCGAUUAGAAUCCAAUAAGGAAGGCACACGUUGGUUUGGCAAAUGUUGGUAUAUGCAUAAUUUACUCAAAUAUGAAUUUGAUAUCGAGUUCGAUAUACCUGUCACAUAUCCAACAACCGCGCCAGAGAUAGCGCUACCAGAACUCGAUGGCAAAACUGCAAAAAUGUAUCGCGGUGGUAAAAUAUGUUUGACCGAUCAUUUUAAACCUUUGUGGGCGCGCAAUGUACCAAAAUUUGGCAUUGCACAUGCAAUGGCCUUAGGAUUAGCACCAUGGUUAGCAGUUGAAAUUCCUGAUCUUAUAGAAAAGGGCAUAAUAACAUACAAGGACAAGUGACAUGCUUAAUUUAGAUAAUUUUCGAUCAAUAAUACAAGAACAAAACCCGAUAACAUGAUAUAAAACCUAAAGUUUUUGAAACCCCAAUUCUUUUCUGUAUUAUCGCCAAAGCUUAAUAAAUUAAAAUAGUUAAAUUUAUGCGUAAGCACUACCCAGCAAAGCGAUUCUGAUAUUAUAAUGUAAUUAAAAAAAACGUAAAAUAAUAUGGAAAAUAAAAUUAGUGCAAUCACAACA